GCUUACGACCAUACCGGCCUGAGUAAGCCUGAUCUCAUCAGAUCUCAGAAACUAAGCAGGGUCGGGCCUAGUUAGUACAUGGAUAGGAGACCGCUUGGGAAUACCUAGUGCUGUAAGCU
ensembl:rRNA 5S_rRNA 5S ribosomal RNA